rnacentral:misc_RNA from 1 species
GUUACAUGCACUCCCAAUAUAAAUAUCAUUUCAAUUCUUUAUGUUUCCAGCUUUUCUAUUGGUUUUUUAUCUGUUAAUUCCGUUACUCAAGCUCUUAAUUGCGAAAUUAAAUUUUUUUCUUAUUCAUUGCAUAUUUCAGGAUUUAAAAACAGGGAAAAUUAUUAGCAGUGGUAAAUUAUGAGAUGACCUGUAUUUUCUAGAUGAUGGUUGUAGUUCCUCAAAUUUUGAAGUAAACCAGGCUUUGUUAGGACAAGCUAUAAGUGCUAAUGAGGAGAUUAUCCAGUGGCAU